rnacentral:rRNA from 1 species
AGUGAACGCUGGCGGUAGGCCUAACACAUGCAAGUCGAACGGCAGCACAGUAAGAGCUUGCUCUUACGGGUGGCGAGUGGCGGACGGGUGAGGAAUACAUCGUAAUCUACUUUUUCGUGGGGGAUAACGUAGGGAAACUUACGCUAAUACCGCAUACGACCUACGGGUGACAGCAGGGGAUCUUCGGACCUUGCGCGAUUGAAUGAGCCGAUGUCGGAUUAGCUAGUUGGCGGGGUAAAGGCCCACCAAGGCGACGAUCCGUAGCUGGUCUGAGAGGAUGAUCAGCCACACUGGAACUGAGACACGGUCCAGACUCCUACGGGAGGCAGCAGUGGGGAAUAUUGGACAAUGGGCGCAAGCCUGAUCCAGCCAUACCGCGUGGGUGAAGAAGGCAUUCGGGUUGUAAAGCCCUUUUGGUGGGAAAGAAAAGCAGCAGGUUAAUACCACGCUGUUCUGACGGUACCCAAAGAAUAAGCACCGGCUAACUUCGUG